rnacentral:rRNA from 1 species
ACCUGAAAUGCAACCCUGACACACCUGAUCUCAUCUGAUUUGAGAAGCUAAGAAGAGUCGGGCCCGGUUGGUGCCUAGGUGGAUGAUUACCUGAUAAUACUAGGUAUCCAUGUU